ensembl:lncRNA
GGAAUGUGUUGUUUUAAUUUCUCUGUGAAUAACUGCAGUCUAAUGCAACAGCUGGAGUUGUAACAUCUGUCCUGAUAUUGAUCAUGAAGUAUUGAUCAGAAUACUUAUGGUCAGCAGUCAUCCCUGAAGUUUUACAUUAAAAUCUUUACUUGUGUUGUGAACUUUGGUAAGAAGCAGAAACAUUAGCGUUGCCAUGGAUACAUGAGUGUUAAAUUCUGUCCAUGUUUCCAUUUUGGGAUGCAGUCCAGUUCCAGAAUGUGGAGGAUUUUAGUCUCACAAUCACAGACAACAAAUAUUAUCUGAAAGUCAGGUUAUUGUUGUUUAUCAGCACAAUACAAAAAGAUUAAUGUUAGAAAGAAUCCAGAAUUGGAGCUCAUAUCUUUGGCAGCUGUAAAGUUUCUGUUCCUUCAAAGUUCACAACACAAUGAAUAAAUUCCUAAAACACUCUCAAUGCUGGAGAGCGUUUGAUGCUGAAGCAAUGAUCAGUUUUUCUGUUUCUUCUCUGGAGAUGCACAAUGAGGGACGUCUGCAGAGACUGAGAAAGAGUCUCACCACAUCCUGACAUGAGGAAAAAGACUUUAUUGAAGACUACAAUGAGAAAAACUAUCAGGCAGCAGACGGCAUGCAUUCAAGGCUACAGGAGGAGCCCUACGAGGACGAGCCGGUCCACCUGAUGGCGGCCAGUCGCUGCGGUUCAAAGCCAACACCGACUACGUGGACUUCUACUGGACCACACGGAGGCCUUCAAACCGGACCAACAAGUUCAGCGACUCCCCGACUCGUGGGUCUGAGGACGCCGCCGAGCCUCGGUCCAGCCGGCCUCCUGUCUGUGGGUGUUUGAGUGCUGAGAGGUUUGUGGAUGCAUGUGAACGUGUCUGUGUUGAAACAGCAGCUUUUGACUCAGUAACGCUGGUAAAAACCAAGAGCUCCUUUAUUUGUGACUUCCACUAAAAAAUACUGAUGAAAAUAAGUUUGCCAGGGUUCUGACUGAUAACAGAUUAUUAAAUAAUGA